GUUGGAAAAAUUUUGAACUUUCUCUUCCCAGAUUUAUAGGGUUAAAUCUGCACAACUCCCCCCCCCCUUGCUGGAGAUCCACCAAAGAGCCUGGAGCCCCAGUUCAGAGCUGGGGGUGGGGUGUCUCUGGAGGCAGGGGAGGCUGCAGUUCCUCAGCCCCCACCCCAUCCCAGGGCCAGCUUGCAGCCACCCCUCCCUGCCUGGGAGAAGCCCUGCUGGGCUCUGAGGCCAGGCAGUAAAUUGGAAUGCAGAAGUCACAGUCCAAGGCAGCUGUAACUCUCAUUAAAGUGACAUCAACCCCACUUCGGGAGGAUGCUGUAAAUCCAGGGAAAGGGGGCAUUCAUCCAGGGAGAACCGCAGAAGCAAAGAAAAAAACCAUAAAUAGAGGAGACGUGGUGUCUGGAACUAAUGGUGGGGCCCUCCCUGCCCAAGGCUGUGCUGAACUGGGGGUGGGGAAGGAGCUAAGGCCAGAG
rnacentral:lncRNA from 1 species